UCAAUACGAGGGUGACAAAGA
ensembl:piRNA 21ur-4292 ncRNA